UUUUGUCUUUCUUGACAAUGGCAAAGAUGUCGUCGACACAUCUUUUCCUCAGUCUGAUGUCUGUGUUGUUGGUGACUGAUUGUGAUUCGAGUUGUUGCAUUAUAAUUUCUGCGGUGAAGGUGGAUAGUGGUGACACAAUUUGUGUGCCUGAAAUUUGUCUAUGGUAUGAGUUCUGUAAGGAGAAUUCAGUGAAGAGGCAAAGACUGAUUUAACGGUGUCAAUGUUGACGAGGAAGGUGGUGGCGUUUUUGAUGGUGUGAGGCGAACUUUUGACUAGAGAAUAAAGAAUGUUACAUAGAUAUUUUGAUAGUUCAUAUUUAGGUGAUCCUGGAAGAGGUACGAUUUGUUGUAUAUAAUUUAGCUAUUUCUUUGUUUUUCUAUUAAUAAUAUAGGAAUAAUCCGUAAAAA